UACGUAGGCAGCGAGCGUUAAUCGGAAUUACUGGGCGUAAAGAGCGCGCAGGCGGUCGUUCAAGUCGCGUGUGAAAGCCCCCGGCUCAACUGGGGAGGGUCACGCGAUACUGAUCGACUCGAAGGCAGGAGAGGGUAGUGGAAUUCCCGGUGUAGUGGUGAAAUGCGUAGAUAUCGGGAGGAACACCAGUGGCGAAGGCGACUACCUGGCCUGUUCUUGACGCUGAGGCGCGAAAGCUAGGGGAGCAAACGGGG
rnacentral:rRNA from 1 species